AGAUUGAACGCUGGCGGCAUGCCUAACACAUGCAAGUCGAACGGGAGUAGCAAUACUCUAGUGGCGGACGGGUGAGGAAUACGUAGGAAUUUGCCCUUAAGUGGGGGAUAACCCGGGGAAACCCGGAUUAAUACCGCAUACGCCCGAGAGGGGAAAGUGGGGGACCGCAAGGCCUCACGCGAUUGGGUUGGCCGAUGUCCGAUUAGCUAGUUGGCGGGGUAAUGGCCCACCAAGGCGAUGAUCGGUAGCUGGUCUGAGAGGAUGAUCAGCCACACUGGGACUGAGACACGGCCCAGACUCCUACGGGAGGCAGCAGUGGGGAAUUUGGACAAUGGGGGCAACCCUGAUCCAGCAUUCCGCGUGAGUGAAGAAGGCCUUCGGGUGUAAAGCUCUUUGUCCGGAACGAAACGGGUAGCGUGAAUAUCGCUGCCUACUGACGGUACCGGAAGAAUAAGCACCGGCUAACUACGUGCCAGCAGCCGC
rnacentral:rRNA from 1 species